rnacentral:rRNA from 1 species
UACGUAGGGUGCAAGCGUUGUCCGGAAUUAUUGGGCGUAAAGAGCUCGUAGGCGGUCUGUCGCGUCUGCUGUGAAAACUCGGGGCUUAACCCCGGGCCUGCAGUGGGUACGGGCAGACUAGAGUGCGGUAGGGGAGACUGGAAUUCCUGGUGUAGCGGUGAAAUGCGCAGAUAUCAGGAGGAACACCGGUGGCGAAGGCGGGUCUCUGGGCCGUAACUGACGCUGAGGAGCGAAAGCUAGGGGAGCGAACAGG